UACGUAGGGGGCAAGCGUUGUCCGGAAUCAUUGGGCGUAAAGCGCGUGUAGGCGGUUCGGUAAGUCCGCUGUGAAAGUCGGGGGCUCAACCCUCGAAUGCCGGUGGAUACUGUCGGGCUAGAGUGCGGAAGAGGCGAGUGGAAUUCCUGGUGUAGCGGUGAAAUGCGCAGAUAUCAGGAGGAACACCAAUUGCGAAGGCAGCUCGCUGGGACGUUACUGACGCUGAGACGCGAAAGCGUGGGGAGCAAACAGG
rnacentral:rRNA from 1 species